CUGGUUUUGGUAACACAUAUACUAAAACUUGAAUAAUACAGAGAAUAUUAUCAUAGCACUUGUGCAAGGAUGUUAUGUAAAUUUGUGAAGUGUUCAAUUAAUAA